rnacentral:rRNA from 1 species
ACGGCCGUACCAUGCUGAAUAUACCGGUUCUCGUUAGAUCACCGAAGUUAAGCAUCAUUGGGCACGGUCAGUACGCCAGAGCGCUGACCACCUGGG